rnacentral:rRNA from 1 species
AGUGAACGCUGGCGGUAGGCCUAACACAUGCAAGUCGAACGGCAGCACAGUAAGAGCCUGCUCUUACGGGUGGCGAGUGGCGGACGGGUGAGGAAUACAUCGGAAUCUACUUUUUCGUGGGGGAUAUCGUAGGGAAACUUACGCUAAUACCGCAUACGACCUACGGGUGAAAGCAGGGGAUCUUCGGACCUUGCGCGAUUGAAUGAGCCGAUGUCGGAUUAGCUAGUUGGCGGGGUAAAGGCCCACCAAGGCGACGAUCCGUAGCUGGUCUGAGAGGAUGAUCAGCCACACUGGAACUGAGACACGGUCCAGACUCCUACGGGAGGCAGCAGUGGGGAAUAUUGGACAAUGGGCGCAAGCCUGAUCCAGCCAUACCGCGUGGGUGAAGAAGGCCUUCGGGUUGUAAAGCCCUUUUGUUGGGAAAGAAAAGCAGCAGGUUAAUACCCCGCUGUUCUGACGGUACCCAAAGAAUAAGCACCGGCUAACUUCGUG